AACGUGAGCGUACGCUGCCCCUCUUGUAACGAAUCCAGAUCAAUGCCAUAUAGCGCUUGCUACGAUCUUCUACUCGACCCCUGUUUUCCGACCACCGGCUCACAGUUCUAGACGACGACGACGUGAUAAGCCGGGUUGCUGCACUUUCGCGGGCAACAUUAUCUAAGGAAAACACUGAUGGCUACUGGCACAGUAAAAUGGUUCAACUCAACCAAAGGCUUCGGCUUUAUCGCUCCCGAUGGCGGCUCAAAAGACGUGUUCGUACACAUCUCAGCCGUUGAGCGCGCAGGCCUCACAGGUCUCGCCGACAACCAAAAAGUUAGCUUCGACAUCGAAGCAGGCCGUGACGGCCGUGAAGCAGCGUCAAACAUCGAAUUGAUGUAAGCUGUUCUUAUAGAACAAUUAAAGGCGCAUCCCUCGGGGUGCGCCUUUUG
rnacentral:sRNA from 1 species